CCUACGGGAGGCAGCAGUGGGGAAUAUUGGACAAUGGGGGGAACCCUGAUCCAGCGACGCCGCGUGAGUGAAGAAGUAUCUCGGUAUGUAAAGCUCUAUCAGCAGGGAAGAAAGAAAUGACGGUACCUGACUAAGAAGCCCCGGCUAACUACGGGCCAGCAGCAGCGGUAAUACGGAGGGGGCAAGCGUUAUCCGGAUUUACUGGGUGUAAAGGGAGCGUAGACGGCGAUGCAAGUCUGAAGUGAAAGGCGGGGGCCCAACCCCUGGACUGCUUUGGAAACUGUAUGGCUGGAGUGCAGGAGAGGUAAGUGGAAUUCGUAGUGUAGCGGUGAAAUGCGUAGAUAUGAGGAGGAACACCAGUGGCGAAGGCGGCUUACUGGACUGUAACUGACGUUGAGGCUCGAAAGCGUGGGGAGCGAACAGGAUUAGAUACCCGAGUAGUC
rnacentral:rRNA from 1 species